rnacentral:lncRNA from 1 species
GUGUCUAUUGUUUUUAUGUAAGUGAUUAUUGUGCACCGUACCCAUAAUUUUAGGGACGCGAAUUGCAACUGAUAUUUUACAGUUUUUUCUUGCGAUGUGUUGUCCUUAAGGUUUGGUUCAUUUGGGAGGGUUGGGUUUAUGGCCACCACAUUGUUUAUGUGCCAAUGUCCAUUCUAAAGCCAGAAACAUGUAGUACAGUGGUUGUUGUUCAUAAUUCAUGUCGGUCAAGUUGUUUUCGUAAAUUAUUUUGUUAUCAAUAAGGCUGUUUAGUUUUGUUUGAUUUUUGUUUUUAAAUCUUAAUGGUCGGGGCAUUUAAUAGCCGACUAAAUAGUAGUUUUUUUUCAUUUUUGGAGGCCGCUCGGUGGCCUUUAAAGACUUACUACCACGUCAUUGUAACUCUGGUUGGUAUUUGUAUCAUUAGUGCUGGACCAUGGUCGAUCCUAUAUGCACCUUUGAGGCAGGCGGGAUAUUUUUGUAGAUCUUGUACAGCUCAAACUAAUGUGAGUAGUUCCUGUACUUCUAUGUCUAGUCCCAUGUUGCAUGGUUAGAGAGGGUGUAAUAUCUUCUGUAGGUUUGAUGAAGUUUCACCCGUAUCGGACUUCUUUUCCUAAAUGAAAGCUUUAAGGCGACGAGUAUUUUUGUAUGCAAUGUGCCCUUAACGUGUCUAAAACUUAUCUGUAGCGUUUUCAACGCUCGUGUAGCGUGUAUAUUAUGUGCGUGCAGUUUACAGGUACAUGUAUAUACGUUUGACAAACGCUUGAGCUGAAUGAUUUUUUUUAUGUUCCAUUAAAAUUUUCCUGAAGUAAAAGCGUUCACCAAGCGUAUACCUUUGCAUUUCGACGUACUUCAAACUUAUGGAACGCGUGUUUAAACGCUUGCGUAAAGUUCCUCUGGUGAGCAACUAAGUUACGCAUACGAUGAUACGGAC